UAAUACGGAGGGCGCGAGCGUUGUUCGGAAUCAUUGGGCGUAAAGCGCGUGUAGGCGGCUUGGUAAGUCGAGUGUGAAAGCCCGGGGCUCAACCCCGGAAGGUCGCUCGAAACUGCCUCGCUAGAGUCCCGGAGAGGAAGGCGGAAUUCCCGGUGUAGAGGUGAAAUUCGUAGAUAUCGGGAGGAACACCAGCGGCGAAGGCGGCCUUCUGGACGGUGACUGACGCUGAGACGCGAAAGCGUGGGGAGCAAACAGGAUUAGAUACCCUGGUAGUCCACGCCGUAAACGUUGGGUGCUAGGUGUCGCGGGUAUUGACCCCUGCGGUGCCGCCGCUAACGCAUUAAGCACCCCGCCUGGGGAGUACGGUCGCAAGGCUA
rnacentral:rRNA from 1 species